GCGCUGCUGUGAGUCAAGGCGAGAAAGGAAAGGCAAGACUGCAGCGUCAGGGCACUAGCCCAGUGCGUUUAUUUAUAUGUUCCUCUUACUCUUCACCUGGAACUUGGUAAACCCGAACAGCUCCCUUUCACCUACAAAUGAGUCUGCCUGCUUUUUACUUGCAAAUAGUCCUGUUUCACCUGUAAACCACCCUUUUCAUCUGUAAAUCAGGACUUCCCCUGUGAGUGGACUACUUUCUCACUGCGGAUGGGCCAGCCUCUCCCCCCGGCAGGCCCUAAACACGGAUGUCCAGCCCCACUUCUGAGCUUGUCAUUGAAAGGGGUCUCGAGCCCCCUUUGGGUGCCCCCUCCCAAUUAGGCCACUCACGCACCGAGAGGUCCGGCAGGAGAUCUUUAUUGUAGGGAGGCGAGCGGGAGGCAGGAAGGCAGAGAGCGAGAGAGCGAGGAGAGGAAGUGCGGCGAUAUUUAUAGGGCAGGCAACGGAAGAUCCUUCCUUGGGAGAAGCGGUCUUUGUUAUCCUAUCGCAAGCCAGGUUGUCUUUUGAAUUUCGCGCUUUACAAUUUCGGCGGGAGAAAGGACUCAGAGUCAGGAAAGAGCCCGGAAGGAUACCAGCCACUGGGCCGAGGAUUCAUCACGACCUCGAUUUAACUACUACACCUACAACUAUUACAUCUCCAGAGGCUGCGUUUCCAAACAAGGUUGAUGUUUCAGGGAGAUACCAUUCAGCCCAGCGCCAACAGCAAGAUCUUUUCAGGAGAAUAAAGCGGUUCUCACAGAGGCAGCCAGGAGCCCACAGAAGUCCACUCGUAAGGAGAUGGUGUAACAAAAGCAACAAACCCAAGUUUCAAAGGAGAGAUGAAGCAGGAUCCACUGUCGCACACAUCCCUGGGAGAAAGGAAUCCGGCUGGCAAGGAGCAGAGGCAAAGAGCCGGUCCAAGAGGGGGCAAGUCACCGUCUCCUGGCCCGGACCCUUGUUCUACAGUCUGUCCAUCUACCCUGCUGAACUGUUACAACUAUUGACACUCUUCAAAAGGUUCCGCUCUGAACCCUGUCCAGGCACUGCAGGCUCCAAUGGACAUCUUCAAAUGCAGAGAAUGGAGGGGCAAGAGUUUCCCCCGUGUGAUGCCAAAACCAACAAAGCCCCAUGGAUCAGGUAA
rnacentral:lncRNA from 1 species